AGAGAGAGAGAGGAACGAAAGGAAGGAGAAGGCAGCGGUGCCGAAACAGGGCUUUCGAAGCCCUAUCUCCUUUAUGCGUUGGAACAUGGGCUAAGCCCCUGUUCAAUAGAAAAUAGAAAUUUCAGUUCUUUUUAUUUUUUAAAAUUUUUAAGUGAAGUCGGUGGCCACUGCGGACUUCACUUAAAAAAAUUCAAAAAAAAUAUAGGGUAAAUUACAAACCCUCCCCCCAUUACUGACUUCAAUUAAAAAAUUCAAAAAAAAUAUAGAAUAAAUUACAAACCCUCCCCAUGAGAGUAGGGGUUAAUUACACUUAUCCAAUUAUUUGAAAAACCUGCACUUACCCUCCCGACUUUGUUUUAUCCAUCACUUUAACCCAUAACUUAACAGAACGUUAGUCAAACUGUUAAUCUUAAAUGGGACCCAAAUGCCAUGUUAGAAAAAAAUUCAAAAAUGACCAAAAUAACUUUAAGUCGCGACCAUACAAGAACAUAAGAAAACACGUGCAGAUUUUACAAACUAUUAGGUGUAAGUGUAAUAAACGUAAACCUCAAGAGUUUUUUUUGUAAUUUAUUCAAAAAUAUAAAAAUAUAAAAAAUUACUCCACCCUUGUUCCAAUGCAUAAAAGAGAGAGGGCUU
rnacentral:lncRNA from 1 species